UUUUGUUUUUUAGUAAAAAAUUACACUGCUCAACAAGACUGGCGAACGAAUCGCUCUAUUCUGAUGGCUUAUAUCCUCAAUGUUAACCCUGUAGGAAUGAGAAGGCCGAUUACAGCGAAGGGAUCGAUGUCGCAGAAGUCUGAAAAGCUUCGCUUUGCAACCUUUUUGACAUGCUUCAUUGGACGAGAUGGAUAUACAAGUCGAGAGUUGUUAUAAAGUCGAGGAAUCUCUUUACUUGGUGGUCAUUCAUAGCCAAGCCAAAUACAAAUACAAGUUGAAUUAAUUGCAGCGUGUGAUAGCAGUAGCACAUUCACGUAAUGUGCCACCAUCUUUGCAAUGCAAAGCACUUCUUUCAGCUACGGAUAGCCGAAAGAUCGCAAUGUAUGCAAGUCCUUCCUCAUCAUGUGAACAAUAGUUAAUUUAAUCUACAGUCAGUUUUUCAAGACAGUACCUACCACCGAGGAUUGGACAAUUGAUCUGAUUCACUAUGUUCUUUUUUGCAGAAAUGCACAUUUGAAUAUCUUCCUUUUACAUUUUUUGGCGAACUCUGUGAUGUAGUUGGUCUCUGGAAUUCAAUUGAAAUACCUUCCUUCAUUCAUGAUUUAUUGCUUUCAAUGCGUCAAUAUCUUUAAUUCAAUUCUGCCUCUUGUUACCAACGAAGAAGGAGACAAGUUCGGAAAAUCUGCUGGCGAUGGUAUUUUGCUGGACGAAGAAAAAACGUCGCCUUUUUCUCUUUAUCAGUUCUUUUUGAGAAUGCCAGAUUCUGAAGUCGAAAUUCUUCUCAAGUCGUUCACGUUGUUCAAGUAGUUUUAUCCCACUCUAAGAAAUUGCAUUUCUCAUGGAACAACACAAAAAAUCACCAGAGAAGAGAAAAGCACAAACGAUUCUAGCUGAAGAUAUGACGCUUCUAGUCCAUUGAGGUGAUUUUUAAUAAACAAAUAAAUCACUUCUUUUAGCUUUUUAAGUUUUUCUCUUUCAGAGGCGGGUCUAAAACAAGCCGAAAAAGUCACUGAAGCGCUCAACAAGUCAAAUGUUGAAGGACUAGGUGAACUGAACUACAACUAAAUCCUAUCGUUAAGAUUUUUCCAGAGCCUGGACUAUCCAUUCUUGAUAUGGCACUAAAAGCUUAAUGUUUUACAACAGAGACUGAUACGAUGAGAAUCAUCACAGCUGGGGGUUCUAUAUCAAGCAAUAGCGAACUCAAAACUUCGCAGUAACAUCACACUAACUCAUCACCACAAACAUCAGAUACCAUUUAUAUUUAUUAGUUCAAAAUGUUAAAUGUCUCCUUUUUGUUGGCAAGGAUGAUCAUAUGAAUAAAAACAAUUUGUUUAGCUUAUAUCCAUAUUCAAUUUUACAUUAAUUAAAAGUCAUUAAUAAUAAUAUUGUAUUCUUUUUUGUGAUAAAAAUAAAUAAUUUGAAUCAUUAAACAUGUA